GAUGAAGAACGCAGCGAAAUGUGAUAAGUAAUGUGAAUUGCAGAAUUCAGUGAAUCAUCGAAUCUUUGAACGCACAUUGCGCCCGCCAGUAUUCUGGCGGGCAUGCCUGUUCGAGCGUCAUUACAACCCUCAGGCCCCCGGGCCUGGCGUUGGGGAUCGGCGGAGCCCCCCGUGGGCACACGCCGUCCCCCAAAUGCAGUGGCGGUCCCGCCGCAGCUUCCAUCGCGUAGUAGCUAACACCUCGCGACUGGAGAGCGGCGCGGCCACGCCGUAAAACACCCAACUCUUCUGAAGUUGACCUCGAAUCAGGUAGGAAUACCCGCUGAACUUAAGCAUAUCAAUAAGCGGAGGA
rnacentral:misc_RNA from 1 species